rnacentral:rRNA from 1 species
AGCAGCCGCGGUAAUUCCAGCUCCAAUAGCGUAUAUUAAAGUUGUUGCAGUUAAAAAGCUCGUAGUUGAAUUUCGGGGUUAGCAAGUUGGUCGUGCCUUUGGUAUGCACUGGCUUUGCUGAUUCCUCCUUCUUGAAGAACUGUGAUGCUAUUAAUUUGGUGUUGCAGGGAAACAGGACUGUUACUUUGAAAAAAUUAGAGUGUUUAAAGCAGGCUAACGCUUGAAUACAUUAGCAUGGAAUAAUGAAAUAGGACGUUUGAUCCUAUUUUGUUGGUUUCUAGGAUUGACGUAAUGAUUAAUAGGGAUAGUUGGGGGCAUUAGUAUUCAAUUGUCAGAGGUGAAAUUCUUGGAUUUAUUGAAGACUAACUACUGCGAAAGCAUUUGCCAAGGAUGUUUUCAUUAAUCAAGAACGAAAGUUAGGGGAUCGAAGACGAUCAGAUACCGUCGUAGUCUUAACCAUAAACUAUGCCGACU